rnacentral:lncRNA from 1 species
UUUAUAAAUUGCUCAGUCUUAGGUAUGUCUUUAUUAGCAGUGUGAAAAUGGACCAAUACACUGCCCUUAAUUGUCUUUUUAUUCACUGUUACUGGUUUAAAAUCUGUUUUAUCUGAUAAAAGAAUAGCAAUCCCUGCUCUGUGUUGUUUUCCAUUUGCAUGAUGUAUCUUUCUUCACCCCUUUACAUUGAGCUUGAGGGUGUCAUUACAGAUUAGGUGGGUCUCUUGUAGCAGUAGAUGAUUGGGUCUCUCUUUGUUUUUUUUUUCUUUUUAUCCAGUUUGCCAAUCUAGAUAUUUUAAGUGCAGCAUUUAGACUAUAUACAUUCAAAGGUAAUAUUGAUAUGUGAGGCUUUGAUUCUGUCAUAGUUUGUUAGGUAGUUACUUUGAAUCACCCAAUGUCUGCCUUAAUAUUCACAUGGAACUCUCCCUGUGUGCUUGUCUGUCUCCAAAUUUCCCCUUUUAUAAGGACAUGAGUCAUAUUGAAUUAAGAGCCCACCUUACUCAAGCACGACCUCAUCUAAACUAUUAUUAUAUAUAAAUAUGUCUGCAAUUACCCUAUUUCCAAAUAAGGUCACAUUCUAAAGUACUCAGGAUUAGGACUGCAACAAACAGAUGUUGUGGAGACACAAUUCAACACAUAAGACUUUGAGACUUUGCUUCCAAUAUGGAAUUGAUAUCCCAAAACCCAUAUGAGGUGCCUUCUCUCUGAGACUUUUAGCCUGAAUCUACUAAUGUGAAGGAGGAGGGUUAGUUGCUACGGUAGAUGCUAUUUUGCUAAUGUUCCAUAGAAGUGAAGGCAGUGAGGUUGAGAGUUGAGGGGCUCAGUGGGGAGGAUACUGUUGUGGCUGCUCCAGGGAUUGCAUUUGAAUUUUGUCUGGGUUCUUGAUGACCUAGAUUCCCUUGGUUCCUUCCAAUUCUCUUAGCUUUAUUUGCCCACAUGUCUCCAAAUUCUUGAGUUGUUUAAUAACUUUCCAGUGAAAGUCCUGUUUGGCUCCAGUUAGCCAGAGUUGGUUUCUGUUGUGUAUAAGCAAUAAACUUGUCAAGUACACAUACUUCAUGAUAUUUUAUAUCUUUUCAGUUCAUCCUAUAUUAAAAAGUAAGAAAAUAAUUCAAUUGCAUAAAUCAGGAAAUUCUUUAAUUAGACCUUUAAAGUUAAACAGCCAUUACAAUGAACAAAUUCCAUGUUACUGGAAAUAAUAUGGUUUUGUUUCUAAUUGAGUUUAAGGUAACUAACUUCAGUCUGAGCAAAUGAGAACUAUGGUAUGAUUAAAUUAUAUAUAUCAUUGAAUUCAACUCCAACUGAAGUCAUUAUCAGAAAAGUCAUUAUUGAAGAAUUAUGCUACUAUUCCUUGCUGAGAUGGAUGAGGGAAGGAAAAACAUAAUCUUAUUAACUUUUAAAAUUAUAUUUCAUUUAUGAGGUAAGGAAUUUAUGAAAUGAAACACUAAGCAUCAUAUUUCAGGUAAAUUUUGUGAUAUAAAUCAGUUGUAUUUAUAGAUUCAAAGCUAAGCUUGAAAAAAGUCUCAGAAGCUAAGGGGCUGAUGACCCUAUAAACUGUAAAAUGUGUUAACACCAAUAAAUUCUGGUCCCUCAGUUCAAAGGGCAUUUGAUUAUACGCUGCACUGUCAGUGCUACUCACAUCGGAGCUCAUCUUGGAAUGAUAAACAAGGCAGGCCUGUAAUGUAUACCAGAGAAUGACAAGAUGCACCUGUCCCUACAAGUUUUGAGACAAAACAGUAGGCACUUGCAGACAGCUGUGUCAUCUAUGAGAAAGUCUACUCAUAGGCUCACCAACAGGCAAGAAGAAACACCCCCAGCCAGUUUAGACUACAACAUCACAAUGUUUGCAUUGGUAUAUCUUUUAUUUCUCUGAGAUUAUUUUGAAUAGAAAACUAUGUUGGCUAAAAUCUAUUAGUAAAAUUCCUUUGUAUGUAAUAAAGGGCUGUUGAUCUCUGGUGGCUUUCAUUUCUAUGCACAACAUUUUAAAGUAUUUUAAUAAGUAUUACGUAAAUCAAUGUUAAUAAAUGUUCAAUUGGCAGAAGAACAUGAAUUAUUAUAUAAUUACCUUUAAAUAAUUUGCCUUAUGGUUUUUCAUCAGUAUGAUUUUUAAACAUUCUGAGGGUUUGAUUUACAUCUCUUUAAGAGGGAAAAAUUUUUUGCCUUAAUAGAAAUUUUUCCAGUCCUGAAUGUUUUACUUUGGUCAUUUAUGCCUAAUCACGCAUCUCUCACAAAGAACCACCCCAACAAAACAGAUAGUUAUUUAAAACUUAUUACAAGAUGAUUAAUUGAAAUACUUUAUGGUCAGUUCUUAUGUUUAACAGCUGGUACUUGUGCUGGCUUGUUAUCAAAGGAAUAUUUAUUGAGCAUUUGGUAUUACUUAUUAUUUGGAACAUAUAUAGGAAAUUAUUCCUGCUUUCUUGUUAUGUAUAUUCUGAAGAAAAUCUGUGUAACCUCCUUUGCAGAAUAUGGUGUUUUGUUUGUUUAUUCAUAUAUAUUUUAUUCUAAAAAAUAAUUUGAAACAGAUUUGACAUUCUUGGGGCAUUGAUUUCUAUUUUUUGGUCUGUUUUUUUGUGAUUUUGAGAAAAUUACAACUAAGACAGAAAUUUCUUAUUUUAGUCUGAAAAAAUGUAUCUUGACAAUUUUUUUAAGUUAGAAAUUUCAGGUUCCAUGACCCCAUUAUAUUUUGAUAGACAUUAUUAUUUCAUUUUAGAGCUUGCAAUUUUCAUUGAAAUUUUCCAUUUUGAAAUGACGAUGGAAAAAACCCAUAUAACUUACUAAUUCAUUAUUAGGUUUAUUACAGGGUCAACUAUUCAAUACUUUGUGUUUGCAUAUUUUGUAAAACAUAGUAUUGAGCUGGAUUUUAAAUAUUUUUGCUAUGCUAAUUUCUAAAGGAAGGAUUUUGAGUCAUGAGAUGAAUUUAAUAAAUUGCAAUUGUUUGGAGAAAGUCUGUGAAUCAAUUUAAUAACUUAAUAGUUUUAAAAGUUUUCAAUAAAGUUGAAGAAAAUCAGUAUUUUCUUUAAUGCACACUUGAAUGUAAGGCACACUUAAUAUCAAAUGUUGUCUUAUGCUCAAAUAAAAUUAAACAAACAGGAAAAUUAUGAGAAUUAGUUUUCCUUUUAUAUUGGUGUUGACAAAUCUAAAUAAUUACUUACUGCAAUCUGUUCUAUCUUGAUUAACACUGUGGUAGACUAUAAUUAAAGUAAAAUAUGUUACAAUUUCUACAAAUAUAUUUUAUUCUAUAUCGUGUAUUUCUCAUAGGAAUGCAUCUCAAUGGACAGUGUUAUAUUCCCAUACCUAUAAUUAAAGAAUAAGAUAUUGAUCUGAUAAAUGGUUACUCAGCAAAUGCAAUGUUGCUGAGUUAUUAUGAUUAUUUCAUGGAGUAUUAGUCUAUUUUUAUUUUAUUAUACUUUAGAUACUUAGAAUAUUCAUAGUGUUCUUGGUAUGUGGGAAGAUAAUGCCGACAACUCAUACAGUUUAGAGACUGGCUUUACCCUGUACUGGAUAACAAAACUUAUUAGCAGUAACCAGUCAUGUGUUUUUUUUCCUAGAGAAGAGUAAACAGAUCAGAACAACCAAACUAGAAACUUAAGACCCUUUCAGUUUUAUGAAUCUUUUUUUGCUUUCCCAACAAUUUUUACUGCAAAGCUCUUGUUUGAUGUUGGUAUAAAUUUAAUUUUUAAAUAUGUUUUUGUUCCUUGUCAACAUCUUUUCACCUGUCAGACCAUUUUAUGUUCCUUUGGUAGAUUUUGUAGGAGAGCAGUUGUCAUCUAUGGAAAAUUACCAACAAUAUUAACAAUGCCAGGUGAGAGUAAUUACAAAUGAAUGUGUCAAAUACAUGUUGGACAUGUGGUAUCAGCGUGUGCAUGAAUUACAUUCCUGUCCUCUCACAAAGAUCGAUUUUCUCUGUUUCCUGUAAAUGGUGCAUUCACUGGAUAUUGCUUCUGCUGCAUGCAAUGCUUGCCACAUUUUUGGCAUUCAAUGAAUAUUGAAAUAAUAAUAAAAGAGUAGGCUUUUUUUCUUUUUGAAUAUAGUGACACAACGGAUGUUUUCAAACACGCUUUCAUAACAUAUUUAAAAAAUAUACUUGUGGGUAGAACUUAAAAUGGCUAUUUUGAAUAUCAACAACAAAUACUUUAUAUUUUUUAAUAUUUUGAAAACUAGGAUUUCUGUCUGCCACCAAAAUAAAUGACUCCCUCUUUCUGCUUGGUCCUUGCAUUGUUAACAAUCACUUCCCCUGCCACCGAAGGGUUCAUAAUGCUUGCAAUACACACCUGUGGUCUACACAUGAAUUUCUCAUCAUGUUCAGUCAUAAUAGGUGUAAAAAACCUAAUUUUGGGUAAUUUGUCAUUGGAGAAAGUGAAAAUAGUUUGUGUUAAUAAAAGAAACUAUGAGAUACUUCCCACGUGUUCUGCAGACCAUGGAAUUGUAUGAAACUCUUGUAAAAGCAACAUGAGUGUAUCCAGAUAUAGUUCAAUGGGGCAGUAAGACCAUAGCCAUCAAUUAUUUGAAGAAAGCCUGUCUGGAGACAGUCAUGCCAAGCACCUGAAUCCACUUUAAUGGUGGAAGUGGACACAUAUGCUUAGGGAGUUCAAAUCCUUUAUGAGUAACACUCACUUAUGAUAUAUAGACAGAAUGCAAAACUAUGGAUUUUUUUCCUUUAGCAAUGUGAUUAUUCUGAAGUACAUGCCUUAAAUAUCCUUUUGAAUGUAGUAACAUUGUGAUUGUUAUCUAGAAAUGCCUAGAAGCCAAUCUUUGUUAUGGUACCGAAGACAAUAAUUGGUCCUUUCAAAGAAUCUGGCAAGUAUAUUUGUUUCCUUGUUAAAAAAAUUAGGAACUUUAAUUGAUUCAUACUAAUAUUGAAAUAGUAUUUCUCUUGACAAACUUGGUUGGAAGAUUCUCAUCACCUUUGGGCAGACUCAUUCACAGGAGCACCUGUAUUGUCAAAAUUAUAUCUCAUUCCCAUAAAAAAGAUGAUGGAGUAAAUGAUAUUUGAUGGUAGAGCAAUAUGAUUUAAAGCUUAUUACUAGACUCAGGUUGGACAUACUUAUUCAUUUCAAAAUGAAGAACACAUAUACAUUUACUAAAAAUCCAAACAUUCUUAGGUUCAGAACAUCUUCGGACAUAAGCAUAUUCAUACUAUCCCGUGCAUGCUUUCCUUUCUUUCACUCUGUAACAACCAUUUUAAAAUGUGGUGAAAUAUGCAGAUGGCUAAGAGAGCCACAAGAUACAUUAUAAUGGAUAAAGAAUGUAAUUACAUCAGAAAUAAAUGUACUUUUUCUGAAAAUAGAGAUGGUAAUUAAAUAAGAGAAAACACCUUUUAUUCUGAUUUUUGCUAAAUUAAUCACAUGUAUUUUCACAGCAUAUAUAGACAUAUAUAAUAUGACAUGUACACACAUAGUAUAUAGGUAAUUUAUAAUUAGAUUUUUGUAUAUCUAUCCUUAUGAAUUAAAUAAUUAAAUCUCAAAAUUUCAAGUGUUGAAUAUACUAAUCAUAAAGCAUUAGGAAUAAAAUUAAACAUUUAAUCUCAAAUGAUGUUAUCAAAAGAAAUAUGGAAAGCACAAUUUUUAAAGUAUGCUCCUCUCAUCUAGAAACCAGUUUCCUAAAACUCUUAAGUCUCAUAUAACCCACCAUAAUCUUGAGAGUCUCAUAAUUUAAUUUAAUAUUCUUUGUUAUUUCCAAAUAAAAUUUCCUAACCAGAUAAUUUUGAUUUUUGUUUUGUUUUGUUUUCCAUUAUUUCAGCUUUGGCAAUGAAACAACUCAGUGACAACCUGAGAAACACAGAAAUCAGACCUGUGAGAAUUGUGGAAUCUAAUAUAGUUUCACUGCAGGAGAUUUCAAUGUGUAAAUCCUAAAUGCAAGAAAAAGGGCCCUAAAGGUUAACAUUUACAUACUUUUUUUUAAUUUUAAAAAUUCCAGGUUCCCAUCAAAAUUUAUAAAUUCCUGGGCAGCACCAUAGUGUACACAUGGGGACAAAUAAAGUAAAGCCAAAAGAGCAAAAUAAACAUGAAAUAUGUACAACUUGUGCAAUUAUGAAUACUUUAAAAAAUCUCCUCGGGUUUUUUACAAACCUGUAGUCGAAAGUUUUCUCUCUCAUCAAAUCCCUCGAAGCACCUCAAAGAAAACAACUCUUGGAAUUUGAAAUUCACUUCUAAACCUUGUGGCAAGUCUGGAGCACUCUGGCUUCAUGCACAUGCUGUGUCUACUUCUGUGCUAGUUAAUGCCUUCCUUGGGGAACCACUCUGUCAGACACCUUUCCAUGUAGCUGGAAUUCAGCAGUAUUUAUCUUUUCCCUCUUCUUUUUUCACUUCUCAAGUCUUAAAACUGACAUCUGAGGAAAUUGUGAGAUAUGUAAGAAAGGAAGAAAAAAAGAAAUAAAACCAUGAUCAUAUAUUAACUAAAAAGCAGGAAUAAAACAGCAUGCAAGUAUGUGAUUUUUAGCACAAAAAAAUUAAGGAAACAAAAGGAAAUUGAGCAUUAUUAAUAUCUACUCCAACUGAAUAUCAGGCAUGAAUAAGUGUAACAUUUAGGACCACUAAACUGUAAAAUUAUUACCAACAGGAUAUGGUAGGAUCCUAUUUUUCAAGUCAUUCAAAACCAAAAAAGAAUUAUAGGGUAUAUGUGGGUGAGAAAGCAGGCCAAAGGUUUAUUAGCUCCAUCUUCUGUAUCUCAUAUGAUGCUGUGAACUUCAGUUAAAAAAAAUAGAUCAGAAAGAUUGAAAAGUGUUCAAAUUACUAGUCUCCUAAAAUAGAGGUGUAGAGAUAUCUUUUGCAGUGCUAGGUAAUUCUUUCUCUUCAAUUGCUACUCUAAGUAAUUACCUACAUAGAACAAACUACAUUUAAGAAAAGAGAUUGAUAAUUUUCAUCGAUUCCUUAAAUUUCCUUUUUUUCCACUUUGAAUUUGAAACAAGGUAACAAGAUCUAUAAAUCACUUUAAUGUCUAUAUUUAUGGCUGGCAAUACAGAGGCCAUGUGGGACAGGGCAGGGGGCCAGAGCUUCAAUGUUUAACACUCACAGUGAUUCAUGAAGGAAUGUUUCAACUUUGAUGUAACUCAGGGAUUUAGGGACAAGCAAACCUCUACAGGAAGGGCUCCAAGCAGAUCAAUGUGGCACCAAGGUUAUGAUGCUAAAGAUUGAAAUAGUGGCAGUGAAAGUUUGGAUUUGAAAAACAUAGGGGAAGUUAG